GACGAACGCUGGCGGCGUGCCUAAUACAUGCAAGUAGAACGCUGAAGAGAGGAGCUUGCUCUUCUUGGAUGAGUUGCGAACGGGUGAGUAACGCGUAGGUAACCUGCCUUGUAGCGGGGGAUAACUAUUGGAAACGAUAGCUAAUACCGCAUAACAAUGGAUGACACAUGUCAUUUAUUUGAAAGGGGCAAUUGCUCCACUACAAGAUGGACCUGCGUUGUAUUAGCUAGUAGGUGAGGUAAUGGCUCACCUAGGCGACGAUACAUAGCCGACCUGAGAGGGUGAUCGGCCACACUGGGACUGAGACACGGCCCAGACUCCUACGGGAGGCAGCAGUAGGGAAUCUUCGGCAAUGGGGGCAACCCUGACCGAGCAACGCCGCGUGAGUGAAGAAGGUUUUCGGAUCGUAAAGCUCUGUUGUAAGUCAAGAACGGGUGUGAGAAUGGAAAGUUCACACUGUGACGGUAGCUUACCAGAAAGGGACGGCUAACUACGUGCCAGCAGCCGCGGUAAUACGUAGGUCCCGAGCGUUGUCCGGAUUUAUUGGGCGUAAAGCGAGCGCAGGCGGUUUGAUAAGUCUGAAGUUAAAGGCUGUGGCUCAACCAUAGUUCGCUUUGGAAACUGUCAAACUUGAGUGCAGAAGGGGAGAGUGGAAUUCCAUGUGUAGCGGUGAAAUGCGUAGAUAUAUGGAGGAACACCGGUGGCGAAAGCGGCUCUCUGGUCUGUAACUGACGCUGAGGCUCGAAAGCGUGGGGAGCGAACAGGAUUAGAUACCCUGGUAGUCCACGCCGUAAACGAUGAGUGCUAGGUGUUGGAUCCUUUCCGGGAUUCAGUGCCGCAGCUAACGCAUUAAGCACUCCGCCUGGGGAGUACGACCGCAAGGUUGAAACUCAAAGGAAUUGACGGGGGCCCGCACAAGCGGUGGAGCAUGUGGUUUAAUUCGAAGCAACGCGAAGAACCUUACCAGGUCUUGACAUCCCGAUGCUAUUUCUAGAGAUAGAAAGUUACUUCGGUACAUCGGUGACAGGUGGUGCAUGGUUGUCGUCAGCUCGUGUCGUGAGAUGUUGGGUUAAGUCCCGCAACGAGCGCAACCCCUAUUGUUAGUUGCCAUCAUUCAGUUGGGCACUCUAGCGAGACUGCCGGUAAUAAACCGGAGGAAGGUGGGGAUGACGUCAAAUCAUCAUGCCCCUUAUGACCUGGGCUACACACGUGCUACAAUGGUUGGUACAACGAGUUGCGAGUCGGUGACGGCGAGCUAAUCUCUUAAAGCCAAUCUCAGUUCGGAUUGUAGGCUGCAACUCGCCUACAUGAAGUCGGAAUCGCUAGUAAUCGCGGAUCAGCACGCCGCGGUGAAUACGUUCCCGGGCCU
rnacentral:rRNA from 1 species